rnacentral:rRNA from 1 species
UGCAGUCGACGAUGAACUGGAGCUUGCUCCAGGGAUUAGUGGCGAACGGGUGAGUAACACGUGAGUAACCUGCCCUUGACUCUGGGAUAAGCGCUAGAAAUGGCGUCUAAUACCGGAUACGAGCUUCAGCCGCAUGGCUAGGAGUUGGAAAGAAUUUUGGUCAAGGAUGGACUCGCGGCCUAUCAGCUAGUUGGUGAGGUAAUGGCUCACCAAGGCGACGACGGGUAGCCGGCCUGAGAGGGUGACCGGCCACACUGGGACUGAGACACGGCCCAGACUCCUACGGGAGGCAGCAGUGGGGAAUAUUGCACAAUGGGCGAAAGCCUGAUGCAGCAACGCCGCGUGAGGGAUGACGGCCUUCGGGUUGUAAACCUCUUUUAGUAGGGAAGAAGCGAAAGUGACGGUACCUGCAGAAAAAGCACCGGCUAACUACGUGCCAGCAGCCGCGGUAAUACGUAGGGUGCAAGCGUUGUCCGGAAUUAUUGGGCGUAAAGAGCUCGUAGGCGGUUUGUCGCGUCUGCUGUGAAAUCUGGGGGCUCAACCCCCAGCCUGCAGUGGGUACGGGCAGACUAGAGUGCGGUAGGGGAGAUUGGAAUUCCUGGUGUAGCGGUGGAAUGCGCAGAUAUCAGGAGGAACACCGAUGGCGAAGGCAGAUCUCUGGGCCGUAACUGACGCUGAGGAGCGAAAGCAUGGGGAGCGAACAGGAUUAGAUACCCUGGUAGUCCAUGCCGUAAACGUUGGGAACUAGAUGUGGGGGCCAUUCCACGGUCUCCGUGUCGCAGCUAACGCAUUAAGUUCCCCGCCUGGGGAGUACGGCCGCAAGGCUAAAACUCAAAGGAAUUGACGGGGGCCCGCACAAGCGGCGGAGCAUGCGGAUUAAUUCGAUGCAACGCGAAGAACCUUACCAAGGCUUGACAUAUACCGGAAACGUCCAGAGAUGGUCGCCCCGCAAGGUCGGUAUACAGGUGGUGCAUGGUUGUCGUCAGCUCGUGUCGUGAGAUGUUGGGGUUAAGU